rnacentral:rRNA from 1 species
AUUGAACGCUAGCGGCAUGCUUUACACAUGCAAGUCGGACGAGUGGCGAACGGGUGAGUAACGACUCGGAAAGUACCUGGUAUAGGGGGAUAACUGCUCGAAAGGAUAUCUAAUACCGCAUACCAUUCGAGCUGCCGAUAUGUGAUUAGCUGGUUGGCGGGGUACAGGCCCACCAAGGCUACGAUCAGUAGCGGGUCUGCGAGGAUUCGCCGCCAAACUGGGACUGAGACACGGCCCAGACUCCUACGGGAGGCAGCAGUGGGGAAUUGUGGACAAUGGGCGCAAGCCUGAUCCAGCCAUGCCGCGUGUCUGAAGAAGGCCUUCGGGUUGUAAAGGACUUUAGUCAGGGAGGCGUUACCUGAAGAAUAAGCACCGGCUAACUACGUGCCAGCAGCCGCGGUAAUAC